rnacentral:rRNA from 1 species
AUUGAGCGCUGGCGGCAUGCCUUACACAUGCAAGUCGAACGGUAGCGGGCCUUCGGGUGCCGACGAGUGGCGAACGGGUGAGUAAUGCAUCGGAACGUGCCAUUGAGUGGGGGGAUAACGUAGCGAAAGUUACGCUAAUACCGCAUAUUCUGUGAGCAGGAAAGCAGGGGACCGCAAGGCCUUGCGCUCUUUGAGCGGCCGAUGUCAGAUUAGCUAGUUGGUGAGGUAAAGGCUUACCAAGGCGACGAUCUGUAGCGGGUCUGAGAGGAUGAUCCGCCACACUGGAACUGAGACACGGUCCAGACUCCUACGGGAGGCAGCAGUGGGGAAUUUUGGACAAUGGGGGCAACCCUGAUCCAGCCAUGCCGCGUGAGUGAAGAAGGCCUCGG